rnacentral:rRNA from 1 species
UACGUAGGGUGCGAGCGUUGUCCGGAAUUAUUGGGCGUAAAGGGCUCGUAGGCGGUUUGUCGCGUCGGGAGUGAAAACACCGGGCUUAACUCGGUGCUUGCUUUCGAUACGGGCAGACUAGAGGUAUGCAGGGGAGAACGGAAUUCCUGGUGUAGCGGUGAAAUGCGCAGAUAUCAGGAGGAACACCGGUGGCGAAGGCGGUUCUCUGGGCAUUACCUGACGCUGAGGAGCGAAAGCUAGGGGAGCGAACAGG